GAACCGUGCGAACGUUGUUCGGAAUCACUGGGCUUAAAGGGCGCGUAGGCGGGCUGCCAAGUCUGGGGUGAAAUCCCACGGCUCAACCGUGGAACUGCCUCGGAUACUGGCGGCCUCGAGGGAGGUAGGGGCGUGCGGAACUGUGGGUGGAGCGGUGAAAUGCGUUGAUAUCCACAGGAACUCCGGUGGCGAAGGCGGCACGCUGGACCUUUUCUGACGCUGAGGCGCGAAAGCCAGGGGAGCAAACGGGAUUAGAUACCCCGGUAGUCCUGGCCCUAAACGAUGGGUACUAGGUAGUAGACUUGACAUGGGUUUACUGCCGAAGCAAAAGUGCUAAGUACCCCGCCUGGGGAGUAUGGUCGCAAGGCUG
rnacentral:rRNA from 1 species